rnacentral:rRNA from 1 species
GAUGAACGCUGGCGGCGUGCCUAAUACAUGCAAGUCGAGCGAACAGACGAGGCUCUUGCUCCUCUGACGUUAGCGGCGGACGUGUGAGUAACACGUGUAUAACCUCCCUAUAAGACUGGGAUAACUUCGGGAAACCGGCUCUAAUACCGUAUAAUCUAUUGAACCGCAUUGUUCAAUAGUUAAAGACGGUUUUGCUGUCACUUCUAGAUGGUUCCCCGCCGCAUUAUCUAGUUGUUAAGUUCACGGCUUACCAAGGCUACGAUGCGUAGCCGACCUGAGAGAGUGAUAGGCCACAAUGGAACGGAGACACGGUCAAGACGCCUAAGGGAGGCAGCAGAAGGGAAUCUGACGCAAUAGGCGAAAGCAUGACGGAGCAACGCCGCGUGAGUGACGAAGGUCUUCGGAUCGUAAAAAUCGGUUAUUAGGGAAGAACAAAUGUGGAAGUAAAUAUGCACGGCGUGACGGUACCUAAUAAGAAAGCAACGGCUAACUACGUG